GAUGAAGAACGUAGCGAAAUGCAAUAAGUAAUGUGAAUUGCAGAAUUCAGUGAAUCAUCGAAUCUUUGAACGCACAUUGCGCCCGCCAGUAUUCUGGCGGGCAUGCCUGUCCGAGCGUCAUUUCAACCCUCGAACCCCUCCGGGGGGUCGGCGUUGGGGAUCGGCCCUUUACCGGCCGGCCCCGAAAUACAGUGGCGGUCUCGCCGCAGCCUCUCCUGCGCAGUAGUUUGCACACUCGCACCGGGAGCGCGGCGCAGUCCAAUGCCGUAAAACACCCAACUUUCUGAAAUGUUGACCUCGGAUCAGGUAGGAAUACCCGCUGAACUUAAGCAUAUCAAUAAGCGGAGGA
rnacentral:misc_RNA from 1 species